rnacentral:rRNA from 1 species
UACGGGGGGAGCAAGCGUUGUUCGGAUUUACUGGCGUAAAGGGCGCGUAGGCGGCCAGCACAAGUCAGUUGUGAAAUCUCCGGGCUUAACUCGGAAAGGUCAACUGAUACUGUGCGGCUAGAGUGCAGAAGGGGCAACUGGAAUUCUCGGUGUAGCGGUGAAAUGCGUAGAUAUCGAGAGGAACACCUGCGGCGAAGGCGGGUUGCUG